rnacentral:rRNA from 1 species
GACGAACGCUGGCGGCGUGCCUAAUACAUGCAAGUCGAACGCAUUUUCUUUCACCGUAGCUUGCUACACCGAAAGAAAAUGAGUGGCGAACGGGUGAGUAACACGUGGGUAACCUGCCCAUCAGCGGGGGAUAACACUUGGAAACAGGUGCUAAUACCGCAUAAUUCCAUUUACCGCAUGGUAAAUGGGUGAAAGGCGCUUUUGCGUCACUGAUGGAUGGACCCGCGGUGCAUUAGCUAGUUGGUGGGGUAACGGCCUACCAAGGCUGCGAUGCAUAGCCGACCUGAGAGGGUGAUCGGCCACACUGGGACUGAGACACGGCCCAGACUCCUACGGGAGGCAGCAGUAGGGAAUCUUCGGCAAUGGACGCAAGUCUGACCGAGCAACGCCGCGUGAUUGAAGAAGGUUUUCGGAUCGUAAAACUCUGUUGUUAGAGGAGAACAAGGAUGAGAGUGGAAAGUUCAUCCCUUGACGGUAUCUAACCAGAAAGCCACGGCUAACUACGUG